rnacentral:rRNA from 1 species
GGACAAGCGAAUAAGUGCACAUGGUGGAUGCCUUGGCGAUUACAGGCGAUGAAGGACGUAGUAGCUUGCGAUAAGCUGCGGGGAGUGAGCAAACACACUUUGAUCCGCAGAUUUCCGAAUGGGGCAACCCACCCUUUUAGGGUAUUGCAUACUGAAUACAUAGGUAUGCAAGGCGAACGCGGCGAACUGAAACAUCUAAGUAGCUGCAGGAAAAGAAAUCAACCGAGAUUCCCAAAGUAGCGGCGAGCGAAAUGGGAAGAGCCUGUACGUGAUAGUCGGACCGAUAACAGAAUCCUCUGGAAAUAGGAGCCAUAGUGGGUGAUAGCCCCGUAUGUGAAAUCGGACCGGUGGUACUAAGCGUACGACAAGUAGGGCGGGACACGUGACAUCCUGUCUGAAUAUGGGGGGACCAUCCUCCAAGGCUAAAUACUCGUAAUCGACCGAUAGUGAACCAGUACCGUGAGGGAAAGGCGAAAAGAACCCCGGAAGGGGAGUGAAAUAGAUCCUGAAACCGUGUGCAUACAAACAGUAGGAGCGGACUUGUUCCGUGACUGCGUACCUUUUGUAUAAUGGGUCAGCGACUUACAUUCAGUGGCAAGGUUAACCAUAUAGGGAAGCCGUAGAGAAAUCGAGUCCGAAUAGGGCGAUCAGUCGCUGGGUGUAGACCCGAAACCAAGUGAUCUACUCAUGGCCAGGAUGAAGGUGCGGUAACACGCCCUGGAGGUCCGAACCCACUAAUGUUGAAAAAUUAGGGGAUGAGCUGUGGGUAGGGGUGAAAGGCUAAACAAACUUGGAAAUAGCUGGUUCUCUCCGAAAACUAUUUAGGUAGUGCCUCAAGUAUCACCAUCGGGGGUAGAGCACUGUUAUGGCUAGGGGGUCAUUGCGACUUACCAAACCAUUGCAAACUCCGAAUACCGAUGAGUGCGAGCUUGGGAGACAGACGUCGGGUGCUAACGUCCGGCGUCAAGAGGGAAACAACCCAGACCGCCAGCUAAGGUCCCAAAGAUUGGCUAAGUGGAAAACGAAGUGGGAAGGCUAAAACAGUCAGGAUGUUGGCUUAGAAGCAGCCAUCAUUUAAAGAAAGCGUAAUAGCUCACUGAUCGAGUCGUCCUGCGCGGAAGAUGUAACGGGGCUAAGCCAGUCACCGAAGCUGCGGAUAU